CGAGUGCCUCAAGCGUUAUCCGGAAUUAUUGGGCGUAAAGGGUGUGUAGGCGGUUUCCUUAGUCUAGUGUAAAAGCCAGAAGCUCAACUUCUCGGAUGCACUGGAAACGGGGAGACUAGAGUGCGCGAGAGGUUUGCGGAACUCAUAGUGUAGGGGUGAAAUCCGUUGAUAUUAUGGGGAACACCAAAUGCGAAGGCAGCAAACUGGCGCGCCACUGACGCUGAGACACGAAAGCGUGGGUAGCGAAUGGGAUUAGAUACCCCAGUAGUCCACGCCCUAAACGAUCUUGAUUUGCUAUGGGGAGUAUCGACCCUCUCCGUGGCGAAGCUAACGCGAUAAAUCAAGCGCCUGGGUAUUACGGCCGCAAGGCUA
rnacentral:rRNA from 1 species